UAGCGUUGUCCGGAAUCAUUGGGCGUAAAGCGCACGUAGGCGGUCUGUUAUGUCGGAUGUGAAAGCCCUUGGUUUAACUGAGGAAGUGCAUCCGAAACUGGCAGGCUAGAGUACUAAAGAGGGUCGCGGAAUUCCCGGUGUAGAGGUGAAAUUCGUAGAUAUCGGGAGGAACACCGGUGGCGAAGGCGGCGACCUGGGUAGAUACUGACGCUGAGGUGCGAAAGCGUGGGGAGCAAACAGG
rnacentral:rRNA from 1 species